rnacentral:lncRNA from 1 species
UUGUAGCUGUCCAUAUAUAGCUUUGUAUGUUCAUUCUAAUUCAAGUAAGUAGAGUUUUUACACUCUCUCUUCUAUUCUCUCUCACUUUUACAAACCGCAAACUCUAUACUCUCCCUUUGUUCGAUCAAACUCUUCUAAUCUCCUUAUUCUCUCGAUCUUUUACUUCAAAUCUUACAGAAAUUUGGUCUCAAAUGGGAUAAGAACCCAAAACCAUUGCUUUGAGGCAGUGAAUGGCUUGUAUAAAGUUAUUUUGGGUUAGAAUAUGUUAUAAUACAAUGAAUUUGAUUGAUUACAAGUGCUAGACAUGCAUGAAGAAUGUUUAGAAGUGAGAAGAAAGACUUGUUGAAAUUUGGUCUCAAAUGGGAUAAGAACCCAAAACCAUUGCUUCAAAUCUUACAUAGAAGUGAGAAGAAAGACUUGUUGAAAUUUGGUCUCAAAUGGGAUAAGAACACAAAACCAUUGCUUUGAGGCAGUGAAUGGCUUGUAUAAACUUAUUUUGGUUAAAAUAUGUUAUAAUACAAUGAAUGUGAUUUGAUUACAAGUGCUAGAGAUGCAUAAAGAAUGUUUAGAAGUUAGAAGAAAGACCUAUCGAUAUUUGAUCCCAAAUUGGAUAAGAACCACCAAAACCAUUGCUUUGAGGCAGUGAAUGGCUUGUAUAAAGUUAUUUUGGGUUAGAAUAUGUUACUAAGUACAAUGAAAGUUGAUUGAUUACAAGUGCUAGACAUGCAUGAAGAAUGUUUAGAAGUGAGAAGAAAGACUUGUUGAAAUUUGGUCUCAAAUGGGAUAAGAACACAAAACCAUUGCUUUGAGGCAGUGAAUGGCUUGUAUAAAGUUAUUUUGGGUUAGAAUAUGUUAUAAUACAAUGAAUUUNNN